rnacentral:tRNA from 1 species
CGCGGGUUCGGCGGGCGUUCGGCACAGUUGCGAUCUGUGUCGAACCUCUGUUCUAAUCGAGGGCAUGCGC